CAUAUGGCAACUCUAUUUCUAGUUUUUUGAGGAACCUCUAUACUGUUUUCCGUAGUGGCUGCAUCAACUUACAUUCCCAUCGACAGUGUAGGAGGAUUCCCUUUUCUCCACACCCUUUCUAGUUUUGGUUGUUUGUAGGAUUUUUAAUGGUGGCCGUGCUGACCUGUAUGAAGGUGAUACCUCAUUGUAGUUUUGAUUUGCAUUUCUUUAAUAAUUAGUGAUGUUGAGAAUCUUUUCAUGUGCCUGUAGGCCAUCUGUAUGAGAUUUUUCCUUCUUGAUGCAGAUAUGUAAUGGGAAGAAUAAAUUAAAAUUAGUUUUCAAUAGGUGUUCUUAUGACGAAGCUGGUUUCUCUCCAUGCACCCCGGCUGCAACCAAUGUUAGGCCAUGUGGCUUAGUGCCCCCAGGAACAAUGACACAGGGGAAGUCCUAUCUCAUAAAAAGAAACACUGUAGAGGAAGAGAGUGAGGACCUAAGAGGAAGGCAAAGAUGCCUGUGUUUUUUCACUUCUGCCUCCUGUUGGGAUUUAUUCAUGGAAAACCAGUGACUACAGUGUCAACAAAGUAGGCCUUGAGCUUAGUUACUUUCCAGGCAAAGGAAGUAGUGCGUGCAGCAGCGGACACAUUUUCUGAGGGGAAGAUCAGAGGGUUUUAUGCAGUGGAAAGGGAGGAGGCCGUGGCACUUAUGCUAAUUCAUGUUUGGAAGCUUGUACUCCAGCAAAGUCAGAAUGCAUCCAUUCAUUGGUGUGUGGUUGGUUAAAACAAGUCCUGCUGUUCAUUGGUAAGGAAGGAACCCUCAGUUGAGUGCAGUAAGGGUCUGAUGAACUGGGGUCACUCAGAGGUCUUAGUAGUUUAUCAGCUGUUAUUAGUGGUGGUGAUGGUGGUGAGGUUGCUAAAGGUCAUGAUUGUUUUAGAGCUCUAGCAGUUAAAACCAGUUGUGAAACAAAGCAAAGGCAACUGUAAGAACAAGAUAUUUUUUCCCUCCUAUAUAGAUAAAAGCUUGGGGAUAUAGAACAGGCUGUGCUAGAAAUAUGCUGCCAGGAACAGGGAGCCUGAGAACACUGGGGCUUGUGGCCUGUUUCCUCACCUAUAGCUCCUGGGAGGCUGCAGGCCUCUGCAGGCCAAGGAGAAGCUGGCUUUCGCUUGGGAGCUGUAGCAUCCUGGCCUUGGGGAUGACCAUGGUCUGAGGCAGAGCCUCCGGGUCCCUGCAACCUGGUGCCCAUGGGACUCUUGGAGGCAAUGAUUGUGCAGCAAAGGUCACAAGGGACCCGUUGUGCCCCAGCAGAUGCCAAGUCAGGACUGGAUCAGACCAGCCACCUGCAGGGAGAAGGGCUGGCUGUGUCAGCCGCAGACCUUCUUUUUCAUUUUGGAGAGAAGAAAUAAACAGAUCUUUCUCUCUUUUAAAAAAAGACUUACCCAAAGACACUCUUUAAAAGGGAAGAGACUGAGAUAUUAUUAAUUGGCAAGUUUGUUUUUGCCCCACACUCCUCAAUGGGGUGUGAACUUGGAGGAAGAAUAGUUGUAGGAAAUAAAGGCGCUACAUUUUCCUUAAAAAACAGAGUGGUAAUGUGCAAAUUUGCAAUCCUGCUAUAUACAUAUAAUUUAAUAUUUAUAUGGAAACAUUUAAACCUAAUGUUCAGUAAUUUGGAAGAGAAUAAACCGUUAAAUUCCAUUUAAGUGUCUUUAUCACAUAUCACCAUUCCUGCCUUCUGUCUAAUCCACUUAUGUGGCUAUAAAACUGCAAACAAGCCUUGCUUCCUCAGUCACCUAUACAGCCUCCUCUUUCGCCCUAACUUAAGCUUCAGGUUGUUCAGGAUCAAAGCCUCUGCUAGCUUUUUUUUUUCACCCUAGAAAUCACCUUUCUCUUUGGUUUCUUCCUCUGAGCUACCAAGAAUAGCAGAAGACUGCCUCCACCUCUUUACUAAAAUCAGAAUAUUUUCUUCCCAAGAGAAAAUAUGUAAAACACUCCUGAGCUUGGAAAGAAUAAUAGGUGUGUAGUUUGGGUCUCUCCACUCACAGGGGUUUUUUUGUCACUUUCUCCACCAAGAGAGUGAAAUGGAAGUGGCCUUUUCCCCUCUUGUUUUUGCCAUCUUAAGCUGGAAAUUGCAUAUGGUGUGGUCUGAAUAUAACAGGAUGUUAGGUACUUUGCUGAGUUUGCCUCAAACACGACCCCCAACAGUGCCUUCUCUCAUGAGGUACUUAAUCCAGGUACCAUUCAUUCAGAUCCUUCAGAAGUGAUUUCUUAAUGAGAUUUAAAGUUAUUUUGAAUGAGGAUUUAGAGCAUGUUCAACAAUUUUCAUUGCAGUCCCACUUAGUAGAGGAGUCUGCUUCCCAUACUCUUUCUUUUCAUGUAUAUCUCUAGGUAAUGGUACUUCACAGGAACUAGGUCAAUAGCAGCGUAACUCAAACUUGACUGACCCAUGCAAACUGCUUGUUAUUUUAAUGUGAGAUGCUUUUCUGGUCUUUAUCCAACUUAGAGCCGAUUCAGUGUCCCAUUUUUAAAGAAUCUCUAGAGAGGAGGAUUCCAUGGCUUCUCUUGAGGUUUCAGUGUAGAGUUUCACACUCUCAAACAUUAAGAAGGUAUUCCUAGUACUUUAUACCCAAAUUGCUCAUGUGGCUCUUUAAGACUCUCAGCUGGUCCUCAGCGGAGAUGGAAAACAGCUGCUCACCACCACCUGUGCUUGGAACUCUUCCACGCUUUGGAAGCCCAUUAAAUCAUGUCUCAGCUUGUGAAAUGAAGGCUCACAAAAAGGGUUUUUUUUGACCAGAGUUGGGGAUUAAAUCCGCUAAAUGUUUGGAAUCUUUUGGUAGCUAUGAUGACCAGACAUUCUGCAUUGCAAUAACAAUAGACAUGUAUUUAUUGAGUACUUAUGUAAUAGGAGUGGAGUGAGCAUGCAGCCGUUGGUCUGUAAUUCUUAUCAGGAGACCUUGAGCGUGGCCAACAGUCAGCCUCCCAGUGGUCCUUGUGGCAGAGAGUGCAGAUUAAGGCCUUCUUCCCGGGGCCCUCUAGGCCCUCCAGCCUCUGGGCCGGUGGAUGAGCUGGGCAGCCUGGGGACAGGCUGAGGGCGGGGUCUUGAAGAGCUCCAGAGUCCUCACCGUGGCUGGGCACAGGCCUGGAAGCAGCAGCGAACGCAAACCCACAGUCCAUGGAGGCCUCAGCAAGUGGAGUGUACGGACACAGCCUUUAAGGAUCCUGAAGCUGAAACAGACCGACUAUUGCAGUGGAACUCUCUUAGGGAAGGGUCCAAGCUGCUUUUCCUUGAAGACAACAACAUACCAGCCCCAACCUCACAGAUGGUGUUAGUCAUCCUGAUAAUGCACCUCAGUUAAUAUCUCAAGUCAGGAUCCAGCUACACUUACUUGCUUUGUGCAACAGUCUUCUUUUUGGAAGUGUUGGCUGCUCACAGUUCUACAUACGUUGGAGAGAUCAGAGAUUCUGUCAACCUGGUUUCCAGCCCUGGCCCUGUGACUGAUGGAUGACAAGUGUACCAGUGAGAACUGAAACUCGCAGCACCUGGAUCCCUGUCGCUAAGAGGGAAGAACAGUACUGACCUACCUCGUGCAGUGAAGUGUCAUAUGCAUUAACUGUCUAAUGAUGCUAAAGCUCUUUGAGCAUGUAAACGUGGAACAUUAUCAUUAUGGUUAAUACUA